AUUGAACGCUGGCGGCAUGCUUUACACAUGCAAGUCGAACGGCAGCACGGGUGCUUGCACUUGGUGGCGAGUGGCGGACGGGUGAGUAAUGCAUCGGAACGUGUCCUAAAGUGGGGGAUAACGCAUCGAAAGAUGUGCUAAUACCGCAUAUACUCUGAGGAGUAAAGUAGGGGAUCGAAAGACCUUAUGCUUUUGGAGCGGCCGAUGUCUGAUUAGCUAGUUGGUGGGGUAAUUGCCUACCAAGGCGACGAUCAGUAGUUGGUCUGAGAGGACGACCAGCCACACUGGGACUGAGACACGGCCCAGACUCCUACGGGAGGCAGCAGUGGGGAAUUUUGGACAAUGGGCGCAAGCCUGAUCCAGCAAUGCCGCGUGAGUGAAGAAGGCCUUCGGGUUGUAAAGCUCUUUCAGUUGAGAAGAAAAAAUUGUAACUAAUAAUUACAGUUCAUGACGGUAUCAAC
rnacentral:rRNA from 1 species